UUCUACAGCCAUACCACUCUGAAUGCACCUGACCUUGUCUGGUCUCAGAAGCUAAGCAGGGUCCAGCCUGGUCAGUACUUGGAUGGAAGACAGCUCUUCAGAAGAGAAGAGCUCAGAGA
rnacentral:rRNA from 1 species